GUUUCGGUCAUGGACGCUCCCCGUGCGGAUAGAUGAACACUUGGGCUGCUGGCGUUGGGUGCCUCGUUGGGUGCUGUGUGGCUGUGAUUGCGUGCCCCCCUGCCGGGGUCUGAGGGUGGUGUGUCCUAUAAAGUGGAACCUGCGAGGACACCUACCCUUCCACCAGAUGAGGCCCAGAUUUGAAGUGGAUACCAGCAGGGAGACAUUUUAAUGAAUUUAUAUGCAUUGGCCCAAUUAGCCUCUGCACUGCAGUAAUUAUCACACACGCGCACACAUUUAUGCACUGGAAAUCGGGACAUCCCAUUGCGCAGUUCUGACAACCCAAAGGAUUGUGGGGCUUAUU